CUCCGCCCACUCCCUGCCUGACCCGGCUGUCUCCAAAUCCCCCUUCCCAGCUUUGGUCCCCAGCCUCCACCCUGAGGCACGAGAAGGUCAUAAGCCAGAGCAGUAGACCACGAGCCGCCAGUCAAGCCCCAACCAGCCACAGCAGAGCCUGGAAGGAGCAGACACGCCUUUAUUCCUGAGCCUGAAACACUCACUGGCUCUUCCCUGCACGCAGCCCAGGCCAGCCUGACUGUAGCACCCUGCCUGGGCUGAUAACACUGUGCUUGGAGUCCCAGUACCUCCAUCCCUGAGUUACAUGUGUAUGUGCGUGGAGGGGACUCCUGGGAGGCACCUGGAGGUGG